AACCAUCAUGGGAAAAGUCACUCUGUGGCUUGGAUAACUAUUCUAAACUCGUUACCCCUUUGUAAUGGCGGUAGUAAAAUCUUUUGAGAUCCUGAUGGUUUCUUUCAGCAGGAACCAGUGAGGUCUGGGUAAAUUUCUUCUAUGAUCUCGAUUCUAAGAUCUUGAACUAUAAUGUCUAGGCUCUUUUAUCAGAAAACAAGUCCAAUGAAUCUUAAAUUAUCUUUCUUCAAUUUAUUUUCCAGGUAUAAACAGUUUUAUUGCAAUCAUCCUUGGUAAUCAUGGCAGAAGGUGGAUUUGAUCCCUGUGAAUGCGUUUGUUCUCAUGAACAUGCAAUGAGACGACUGAUCAAUCUGUUGAGGCAGUCCCAGUCCUACUGCACAGACACAGAAUGCCUUCAGGAAUUACCAGGACCUAAUUCUUCUAUUGACCCUGGCCUCAGUGUUACCAUGAUAAUAAUGUUCUGGGUGGCCAUUGCAAUGAUCUUGUUCCUAAUGAGACCUUUUAAUCUGAGAGGAUCCAUCAUAUCUGGAAAACCAACCAGUCCACAUAAUGGACAAGACCCACCAGCUCCUCCUGUGGACUAGACUUUCUAUGAUAGAAAAUGAAACAGCUAACACCUUGCACGACCAAAUGAAAGAAAGCGACCAGAGUACUCUUAACCCAAUUAGUACUAUUUUUCCCUUUGCAUUUACAGCAUAGGAUGGUAUUGUUUUCAUGAGUUACUAGAAAUUUUACUGUGAUCUGAUUUUUUGCUUCCCAUGUUGCCAUCAUUCCUAUUUAGAGUUUAUGCUUUUUUUUUCCCCUUAAAGGAGUCACAUGGGAUUCUGGGGUUUCUAGACCUUAAACAUUCCACUUAUUCUCUUUGUAACGGUUAUGAUUUUUGUGUGUGUGUGAUAAUUUCUGGCCUAAUUGAAGGAGAAUUGCAAUCUCUGCAUUUAAACUGAUGAAAUGGUUUUGAUAGUUUUGUAAGAUUGAAUUUUUUUUGCAUAAAGUAUACUUUUGAAGUUAUUUGAACUCAGCUGGGAAAAUUAGAACCACAUUGUAUUUAUACUCAAUCUGAGAGUGACCCUCUCUGUGGAUGGUGGUCUUCUCCCUAUCCUUCAGACUUUUUAACCUGGAAUUUUUACCAUCAGUAGCAGAAGCCCAUUAGAACUGACUUGUAUGCUUGGAAAAAGAAAGAAGAAAUUUUAUGGUUGUUUACUAAGCUUUUAUUACCUUCCAUGAAAUUAUUUUACAUGAAAAAGUUCAAUAAAUGUAAUUGAUAAAUUACAUAUUUAACUGUCCCAUUAUAUAAAAUAUUUGUAAGCCACUGAGCACUAGUCUUAAAAGGUUUAUAAAAAACAAAAAAUGAACCAUUCCUAGGUAUGCUAGGAGUAACCUAUAUUUUAAUUUAAAACUAUAAUUUAUUGUUUAUGAUGAGAACCUAUUAAAAUUGAAAAUACUUUUUUGACUUCUUGGUUCCAGGUUUUUAGAACUAAAACUUGGAUUACUGCUUUUCCUUUCUAUGAGCAUUUUCAAAUAUGGUUUUACUUGCUAAUUCUCUUUCCUCUUUGAAAAUUAUUUUGACUUUGUUGCCAUUCUAACCUUUUAACAAACCUCUAUGAAUUCUUUGUUGAUUCCAAGGUGAUAUGGCAGAUGGAGAAGAAUGAGAGAUGCUUGUUUUCUCCCCUGAUUGUGAGUCCUAUUUUAGCUAAUGGGAGGAAUGCUUUGUGGAUAUUAAUUUAGGAGCAUUUUUGAAAUGUACAGAAAAAUAAACAGUUUUAUGUUUUUCUUGGUCAGUUUGGAAAAUGAGUGAGAAUAAUAUAAAGAAUAUGUGUACAUGGCUGCCUCGGUUAUUGAAUUUUUCUCAGUAAGUGAGAACAACUUAUGGGAACCUGGAAUGUACACUUCUAUCCAAUAUAAGACUUUUUUCAUCAUAAAUGCAGUAUCAGCAUAGCCUCUCGUUGUAUAGACUUGCACUUGUUGUAUAAGGUGAAUAAACUUCUCUAUAUCAUUGUACUGUGUAAUAUAGUCUCUGAUAUAGUCCUGUGACACAUAAGGGAGUAUUUUUUUUUUUUUUUAAAGAUUGAAUUCUAGGCCAUCUAUACUCUGUAAAGUCAUAAUUUUAAAUAUACAAUCUGAUAUUCCUAACUUGAAUUCUUUUUUGUACAUCUUAGUUUUCUGACCAACUUAGGGAAAUACAACCAGCUCUUAAUUACUUCUGCUAAUAGAGGGGUGUCCUAUUCCAGGAACUCUUAAUUCCCCAAAACAAUGGUUUCCCUCUGCUGUGAUCCACUGGACAAUCAGACUCUGCUUUCCCAACUUUUAGAGAGAGAAUCAGGUGGGGCAGUGGCAGUUGAGAUGAACGGUGGGGACCUGGUGCCCCUCAUCUGCUCCCCCCUCAGAGCGCCGGGAGGCCUGCCGCUGUCAGAUACCAUUAUCCAGUGUCAGCCUGGGCCCUGGAAAGGAGGGAUCCCGUCUUAUUCUAAGACCUUCCGGCCUGCCUCCAGUUGCUUUUCCCCCCCUUUUCUUUGUCUCAGGUUGCUUAUCUAAAGAAUAACCACAGCAGUUCUUAUCUUCAGAGUACUGACACUAAUUGUGUUGCUUCUAAGUCAGGGCAAGAGAUACAGAUUAUUUAUUCUGAAAACAACGCAACAGACGUAACCCUUAAUGCUUCUGCAUGAUUGAGGCCUUUUUGUUGAACAAACUAGCAAGUCAUUUGCCUUAUAAGCAUUAGCUCUCAAGACCAUCACUACAGUCCUUUUAUUUUUUGAAUAUUCUGGGGGGAAAAAGAUUAGAGCCACAUCUUUUAAAAUCACCAGUGGCACUUAAACACUGCAUAUAGUGUGUUGUUGAGAGGUCAUUUUGUUUGUCACCGCAUAAUUAGUUUUAUUUACUCAAAACGAUGCUUUUGGCUUUACAUAUGGGAAAAAACUAAGUUGGAAAUGUUUUGUAGUCAAAAGUUUUAUGACGUUCCAGGCCAUGAUCCCAUGUUCAGCAAGUCACAUUUUUAAACCUGCAAAAAUUCUCUGAAAAAACCGUCAGAGACAGUCUAUCACAAGGUUGUUUUUAGUGUCUUUUGUGAUUUGUGAAUUGAAAGUGUACCAUCGUGUUUAUAUGGAAUUUAUAUAGCUCACAUUUUAGAAGGAACCUUGGAAGAGAUUAAAUAUUGAAAGUCUUUCACUAAUCAGAUUUGUUUUAAAAACAUUGCCAGCUGAAUUCUCUUAAGGCUGGAAUUCCAGCAACCUGAAAAAGUAAUGAAGAGAGAGUUUACAGUUAAUGGAUUAAAUCUUUGUUAUUGCAGUAGUAGGUUUAGUCUCUUAAUAUAUUAUAUUCUUAAAUGAAGAAUUAUGUGUGUUUGUUACUAUGUUUGGAGAUCACUUUGUUUAAAAAACAAAAAAACUAAAGGAAAAGUUGUCAUGUGAUGUACUAAAUGUUAAUCGCUGAUUUAAAAUGUCUAAAUUAUGCCAAACAAAUCAUGUCUGUGCCAUCCAGGGUUUCCUGUUAAUCUUUUAUUGAGUACUUGGAUUGGGGUAAAGGGCUUGUACUAUGCACUUUUUAUUAAUGAAUAAAUAGACAACAUUAGUAA